AUUGAACGCUGGCGGCAGGCCUAACACAUGCAAGUCGAGCGGAUGAAGGGAGCUUGCUCCUGGAUUCAGCGGCGGCCGGGUGAGUACUGCCUAGGAAUCUGCCUGGUCGUGGGGGAUAACGUCCGGAAACGGGCGCUAAUACUGCAUACGUCCUGAUGUAGCAAGAGGGUGAUCUUCGGACCUCUCGCUAUCAUAUGAGCCUAGGUCGGAUUCGCUAGUGGGGGGGGUAGAUGCGUACCAAGGCUACGAGCCGUAACUGGUCUGCGAGGAUGAUCAGUCACACUGGAACUGGAGCACGGUCCAGACUCCUGCGGGUGGCAGCAGGGGGGAACAUUGGACAAUGGGAGAAAGCCGGAUCCAGCCAUGACGCGUGUGUGAAGAAGGUCUUCGGAUUGUAAAGCACAUGAAGUUGGGAGGAAGGGAAGUAAGUUAAUCCCUUGCUGUUUUGACGUUACCAACAGAAUAAGCACCGGCUAACUUCGUG
rnacentral:rRNA from 1 species